CAGCAGCCGCGGGAAUACGUAGGUGGCAAGCGUUGUCCGGAAUUAUUGGGCGUAAAGGGCUCGCAGGCGGUUUCUUAAGUCUGAUGUGAAAGCCCCCGGCUCAACCGGGGAGGGUCAUUGGAACCUGGGAAACUUGAGUGCAGAAGAGGAGAGUGGAAUUCCACGUGUAGCGGUGAAAUGCGUAGAGAUGUGGAGGAACACCAGUGGCGAAGGCGACUCUCUGGUCUGUAACUGACGCUGAGGAGCGAAAGCGUGGGGAGCGAACAGGAUUAGAUACCCCUGUAGUCCCUGUCUCUUAUAC
rnacentral:rRNA from 1 species